CAGGCCAGCCCAGCCCAGUAACAAAAGAGAGAUGACCUCGAAACAAAAGGACCUCGCCGGGGAAGACGGCGCGGCGGCAGCGCCGUCUGUGAGGAAGAGGUCGCCGGCCCAGAGGAACUCACGUUGCGCCAGUCAAUACCGCGAACAAAACAGUGAUGAUCUUCCCUCCGGUAUAACCUUUGUCAAUGAUUAGCUUUCCACCAUACCAGAAGGCUAGGCCAUAGCUGCUAAAUAUGAUGCAGAAGACAGAGCCCAUGCCAAAACCACUGACAAGGCCUUCCUCAACAACAGUUAUGUAUGCAUUUUUUAUGAAUUUAUUGUACAUUUCUAUAGCCUUUUUCUCGCCAUUGAAGGACACAACCUGUUAACAUGAGUUGCUAGAUUAAUGGCUGCUACAAUUUGAAUUAACUGAGAUAAAUGAUACAGUUUCCAAUAACUGAUAUAAUUUGAACUCACUGUGCGUAUAGAUCCAAUUGUAAGUUCAACUGUGUCUGCAGCAUCACUAUACGAUGUUAGUCGCUUGCUAGAAACCCGGGUUAGAAGUUGUGCAGAUACUGAACCAGCGAUAGCAAUUAGUGGUAGUGAUGUUAGCAUGGCAAGGGUAAGGAGCCAGCCUUUUGUGAAUGCUAUGAUAAAACCCCCAAAGAAGGCGGAUGUGUGUUGUACAAGCUUCCCUGCCUGUAAAUCAGAAUGAAUGAAUGUCAGCAGUUGGGCUGCAUAGAAUGUAUGAAAUACACUCAGGUAAGUAGAACAAAAAUUUCUGUAGUAGCGAUAAAAAUACUGAUGCUUGCAGUUGACUUUUGCGCACCUUUCAAUGUGUUGAAAAAUAUUAUGUUUCUUGAUUUAGUACCACAACAAAAAUAUUACCUUCUCACCAAGAGCAUCUUGAAUCAUGACCGUAUCGCUAGACAUUCUAGAAACUGCUUCGCCUGUUGUCAUUUGUGUAUCGAAGAAUGCAAUGUCUUGCCUCAGAACUGAUUUCAGGUACAAGGAACGGAUGCGGGACGAGUGCCUUUCUCCUGCCAUCGUCCAGCAUGACACCUCUGAAAAUAAAUAAAGGCGAGAGCAAACUUGUGUGUCCUAUCUCGGUCAAGACGAAGACAACGAGGAGGAGGCAGAAACAACAGAACUCACCCGACAGCUAACUACAAACAAACAAAACUAAAACAACAAAGAAGAAUGGAAAAAGGCAGGCCAACCUACACUAGCCAACAGAAAACAAAGAGCAAGAUACGGCCGAGGGGCCACGUGUCCUAGUUCCACUCUAUUCAGUUGUGAAAAUUUUCGACUUGAAGUGGUACGUGAAACUUUGGAAUUUACCAAAGGAACAUGUGAAAUUAAUAUCGAGAUAACUGCUUAUGACUUA